UUUAAAUGGCCGCAGUAUACUAACUGUGCAAAGGUAGCAUAAUCAUUAGUCUUUUAAUUGAAGGCUGGUAUGAAUGGUUGGACGAGAUAUUAACUGUUUCAUAAAAAUUUAUAUUAGAAUUUUAUUUUUUAGUCAAAAAGCUAAAAUUUAUUUAAAAGACGAGAAGACCCUAUAAAUCUUUAUAUUUAAAUUAUUAUAAUUUUUUAGAUUAUUUUUGUUAUAAUAAUUAAUAAUAUUUUAUUGGGGUGAUAUUAAAAUUUAAUAAACUUUUAAUUUUUAAAAUCAUUAAUUUAUGAAUAAUUGAUCCGUUAUUAACGAUUAAAAAAAUAAGUUACUUUAGGGAUAACAGCGUAAUUUUUUUGGAGAGUUCAUAUCGAUAAAAAAGAUUGCGACCUCGAUGUUGGAUUAAGAUAUAAUUUUAGGUGUAGCCGCUUAAAUUUUAAGUCUGUUCGACUUUUAA
rnacentral:rRNA from 1 species